rnacentral:lncRNA from 1 species
AAGUCGUUCAGCCUAUUGCUAACAUGGUGGAGCCCCUAGAGGAAGGUGUGAAGCCCCACCCCUUGGUUGAAAUACUCAAGGAAGUACCCGAGAAGAUCACCGACUAUGUCAAGAAGACGGCGGAGUCUGUUUCGAAGAAGCUGCUGGCGAUGGUGAAGUCGUUCUACCGAUAAGCCAACUUGGCUGCUGUGACAGAAGGCAUUGCCGAGGACUGCUUUGAUGAGCAAUUUUAGCAGUAUUUGGAGGAGAUGGCUCCCAUUGCUCAAGAAGUAGCUGGUCAAAUAGACCUUGA